CUUUUUGCCAUUUCUUGGGCCGCUCCCGCAGCAUAUGGAGGUUCCCGAAGGCUAGGAACUGUAUCGGAGCUGUAGCUGCCAGCCUACGCCAGAGCCACAGCAACACAGGAUCCGAGCCGUGUCUGCGACCCACACCUCAGAGCACGGCAAUGCUGGAUCGUUAACCCACUGAGCAAGGCCAGGGAUUGAACCCACAACCUCAUGGUUCCUAGUUGGAUUCGUUAACCACUAUGCCAGGACAGGAACUCCGGGUUAAUCAUUCUUUAAGCAGCAUUUAUAAAAACACUGCUCCAAAAAAGGGCCCCAUUACAUUAAUAUGUAGUAAGGUAACCAAUAUGGAUUACAGGACAAGUUUCAUAAAGACCCUCUUAAAUGAUACUACAAAAGUAAUGCAGAUAUCAGAGGGACAAAACAGCACUCCUGGCCUUCCUGCUAUUCUUCAAAAGACAGUGUAGCUCAUUUUUAGAUAAGUUAUAACUCUCUAAAUUGAGGUUUAAGGCCAUGUCUAAGGGAUUUUUAAGGACAACUGAAAAUGAUUUGUCAAAAAACAUUGUAGAAGCUUCACAACGCUAUUUUUCCUCCAGAAGCUAUUUCAAGCCAUUUUAAAUUAAUGUACCCGGGAAAAGGUAAGACUGUGUUGCUUAAACUUUCCCUGCCCCCAAGAGGGUGUAAGCCUUGGUUAUGGGUCUCCUCCUCCAGCUAACAAGGGAAAUGAAAAGGACCUCAUUUUCUUAUACACCUGGUUCAAGGCUUUUUGGCUGUCGAGGUUUUGGGGGAAGGUUUACAAAGUUGGGACCCAAGGAUAUCAGGAGAAAUGCAUACACUCUGGGGUAAAAGAAGAAAGCAAGAGAAUUAGGGUCCAGAAGACUUACAAGAAAGGGGUAAAAUCAGGGGAUUGCUGCUGCAAGGAACAGAGUCAACAAAGAGAGAAAAUGUCAAGAAAGGGAAACCUCAGUAUGGGACUAUGACAUAGUAUUCAAAAUGCAAGGAGAGGCCAAGUAUGUCAAGCUUCAGAUAGUAACAGGUAGUGCUGGCAAUAAAAUGGGCACACAUCAUUUUAACUCACUAGACAUGCAUUUUUUUCCUCAGCAUCUGCCAGGUACAAUGCAUGCUCUGAGAUGCUCCCUGUAAUCAAGAGUGGAAUGAGAGAAGACCCAGGCACGCCCGGAAGAGAUGGUCUGGUAGGAAGCACAGGUACAUAAAUUUUCAUGUAUAUGAAUAAAAGCCAGGAAGGACACUGCCAGACGAAAAAGAUACAGAUAAAGAGCUAGAAGGAAAGAGGGGUCAGUGCAAAACAGGCGAAGAUAAAUUGGCGCGUUUUGGCCAUUUUCAGUCCCCAUAGGGCUAGGCCCUCUCUGGCUCAGUGUGUACUUGUUGAGAGAAUGAAGCAAAGUGGCGGGAAAUGGUACCUGGAAGUGGAGGCGGCACAGAAAGUGGCCUCGGAGAAAAGGCAACAAGUGAAUGGAGGCAGUAUCCACGGCGAGGUGUAAGGGAGGGCUGGCUGGCCGACAGUGAACGCGCUAGGGGAAGCCGGCUCCAAAUAGGCAGGUUCGAUAAGGUGCAGCAAGUUGGAAACACGACAGAUUGUUAGAAAACACAGAGCGAACCAGGCCGACGAGGGAGGAAGAUGGGCUCCAGCUGUGUGGCAACAGAAUCCGACAAACAGCUGCAGAGAAGACCUGGCCGGAGGUACAGCUCCAGGCACUCACCGCCCUGGGCCACAGCCUCCGCCCGCUUUCAGCGCCACCGCCUACGCGGGAGGAGGAAGUGCAUCUAGAGAAGGUCUCCUAGGUGGGGUCUAAGGGGGCUCGGCUUCCCCGAACGCCGAGACGUUAUAAUUUCUUAACUCCUACGGGACUGAGCUUCUCCGUGUACAACCAAAAUUGCCCACCUUCGGGUCUUUCGGCCUCGGGGGCCCAGGAGAGGCCCGGGACCCGCACCCAUGUGCUCCCACAUCCCAGCGGUUCUCGUUCCCUUCCUGGCUUCCGGCUGAGCCCCUCCGGCCCCCGCGCCCGAGUGGAGCGCGGCUGGCUGGCCGCACCCGCCCCUACAGGCCGGGCGGAGCAGGCACGCGCGGCGCAGGGGGCGGGCUGGGCUCGGCCCGGCUGCAGCCGCAAAAGGCCUGCUGGUCCCGGCGCACCCGUGGGGAAGGAGAAGGCGCUAGCGGCGGCUGAACCUCCAGAGACCAGUCGAAACUCCUGGGGGGCGCUGAAAAAGACGCUGAACCCCCAUUCCCCAGCUCUGGAGCCCGGCAUCCCUCCCUAUUGCACCCACCCGCCCGGGUCCAUCCCCCGCCCCGGCGCAUCAGCGUCUCCGGUUUCCCAUUGAUGAGGUGGGGGAGGGAAGGCAGGUCGGGAGGGCUCCGGGGGCACUCGCUCGCGCACGCGGCGGGCAGAAUCCCCAAGCGUCCGGGAGCCCUCCCCCCACCCCUCAGCCAGCACCUAGGAGGCUGCCAGCCGCUGCCGGAAUCGCGCUGGGGUGCGUUUGGUUUGCCCUAUGCUGAUGGCCAGCCAGACCUGGGGUUAAGGGGAGGAAGAGAAUGUCUGCCACAGCAGCUCUGUCUACGAGGAAGAAGCGAGAUGAGCACACGCACCCUUUUCUGUUAAAUAUUGCAAGGUGACACAGGAUCGCUUCCCACACGGGGAUUUUCAAAAGGACUGGAGGAGGGAACGCAAUAAACAAGAAAGAUGCUUUCCCGGGUCAGAAGUUUGUCUGAGGAAGAGCCCCUAAGGACUCUGCACACUGAGGGGUUUUUGAUCUGUGUCAACUCCAGUCAGCAGCUUCCCACUGACUUAGAACUGAGAGUGUCCAAAAGGCGUCUCCGUAAAACAAACUUAAUAAUGGCGUGGCUCCAAGAGCUUGGGUUCAUUCAUUUUUAUUACCGUUUUCAUUGUCCCCUCCUCCCCCGCCCCCCGCCCCUGUCUCUUUAAGAAACCGGAAAGGGAUAAAGGGGUCCAGGAAAGGAGGAAUCCGGCUCAGGAGCAGCAAAGAGGAGGGCAGUGAAGUAAGAGAAACGCAAGGAGAAAGGAAGGACACGAGGGAUGGGAAAGGGCGAGGACCAGAGAGCCGAGGACUGCGGCGGGCGGGAGAGGGUUAAAGGGAGCAGGAGACCGGGUCCUCCCCCACUGCCUUUCACACUCUGCCUGCCGGAGGCCAAGCAAGAAAACCCAAAUCUAGAUGAAAACCAGGAGCAGCAAAGGUAUGGACUGUGACAUCUCUCCCGCCUUCCCUGUCGCGCAGACAUCUACUCUAUGUACACAUAUAUGUUCUAUGUUAUAUAAUCUAUGUUAAAGAUGCAUGCUUAGCCACGGCUAACCCAGGGGCAACCACAGAACCACGCGUCUCAUGCAGCCCCAGUGUCCCCUGCACCCGGGAGACCCGGGAACUCGGCAACUGCCCGCGGUUCCUCGCUCCAUUCACACCCCAGAAAGGGAGUACCGACAUUAAGGCACACCCGGGAGACGCGCGAGGCUCCCGGGGACUGUAUCACGAGAAAGCAUCACCUACCAGUUUUCCUGCAUCCAUUGGAUGGCUUCGUUCUCGUUGAACUGCUUUUCGAAUUCAUAUUCUUGUAAAGUCAACACUGACAUGUUCAUUGGGGCUGAUCUUCGGAGUCGCUACGUGUUCUCUACACAAAAUAAAAUAAUCUGUAAAGCGCUUGAUUUUGAGUGCACUCCUGUCUGCUUCCCCCACCCACCCCCCUAGGUCUUCCCCGCGCCGCUGGGUCUCCAGCAAUCGGUCUCUCCCAGUCUCUCUCAGCUACAGUCGGGGCUGAGCAUUGCCUGUGCCUGGGCUCUCAGCUCCUCGCUCU
rnacentral:lncRNA from 1 species